GCAACUCGGGCCAACUAAACUUCUCUGCACUUGCUGGCGCCUCCUGUGUUCUUUUAGCAUUUUGAAGUUGCCUUUACUUUGGUUUUCCCAACUGUUUGGGGUUAUUUUUCAGGGCCUAUUGGUUCCAAAUUGUUUCUUAGUCUCCAAGUCUUGUACUUGCGAUACACUAUUUGAAUCACCGUAAUGACAAAAAAAACCCA
rnacentral:lncRNA from 1 species